GCCGGGCGCGGUGGCUCGUGCCUGCAGUCCCAGCUACUCGGGAGGCUGAGGUGGGAGGAUCGCUUGAGCCCAGGAGUUCUGGGCUGUAUGCGCUAUGCCAAUCGGGUGUCUGCACUAAGUUCGGCGUCAAUAAGGUGACCUCCCGGGAGCCGGGGACCACCAGGUUGCCUAAGUAGGGGUGAACUGGCCCAGGUUGGAAACGGAGCAGGCCAAAACUCACGCGCUGAUCAGUAGUGGGAUUGCGCCUGCGAAUAGUCACUGCACUCCAGCCUGGGCAACACAGAGAGACCCCCUCUCU
rnacentral:SRP_RNA from 1 species